rnacentral:rRNA from 1 species
UCAGGACGAACGCUGGCGGCGUGCUUAACACAUGCAAGUCGAGCGGAAAGGCCCUUCGGGGUACUCGAGCGGCGAACGGGUGAGUAACACGUGAGCAACCUGCCCCAGGCUUUGGGAUAACCCCGGGAAACCGGGGCUAAUACCGAAUAUGACCUCCGAUCGCAUGGUUGGUGGUGGAAAGUUUUUCGGCUUGGGAUGGGCUCGCGGCCUAUCAGCUUGUUGGUGGGGUGAUGGCCUACCAAGGCGACGACGGGUAGCCGGCCUGAGAGGGCGACCGGCCACACUGGGACUGAGACACGGCCCAGACUCCUACGGGAGGCAGCAGUGGGGAAUAUUGCACAAUGGGCGGAAGCCUGAUGCAGCGACGCCGCGUGAGGGAUGACGGCCUUCGGGUUGUAAACCUCUUUCAGCAGGGACGAAGCGUAAGUGACGGUACCUGCAGAAGAAGCGCCGGCCAACUACGUGCCAGCAGCCGCGGUAAGACGUAGGGCGCGAGCGUUGUCCGGAUUUAUUGGGCGUAAAGAGCUCGUAGGCGGCUUGUCGCGUCGACCGUGAAAACCUGGGGCUCAACCCCAGGCCUGCGGUCGAUACGGGCAGGCUAGAGUUCGGUAGGGGAGACUGGAAUUCCUGGUGUAGCGGUGAAAUGCGCAGAUAUCAGGAGGAACACCGGUGGCGAAGGCGGGUCUCUGGGCCGAUACUGAC